GCCUCCAUAGCUGAGUUGGUUUAGCACUUGACUCUUAAUCAAGGGACGCAGGUUCGAACCCUGCUGGGGGCA
rnacentral:tRNA from 1 species